GGGGAAUAUUGGACAAUGGGGGAAACCCCGAUCCAGCAAUACCGCGUGAAGGAAGAAGGCCUUUGGGUUGUAAACUUCUGUCGUUGGGGAAAAAGGUAGUGCGGUGAAUAAUCGUAAUGCUUGAUGGUACCCAAAAAGGAAGCACCGGCUAACCUCGUGCCAGCAGCCGCGGUAAUACGAGGGGUGCAAGCGUUGUUCGGAAUCACUGGGCGUAAAGCGAGUCUAGGCGGGUUGUUAAGUCGGAUGUGAAAGCCCUUGGCUCAACCAAGGAUGUGCAUUCGAUACUGGCAGUCUUGAGUCAUGGAGAGAUGGACGGAAUUCCGAGUGUAGCAGUGAAAUGCGUAGAUAUUCGGAGGAACAUCAGAGGCGAAAGCGGUUCAUUGGCCAUGUACUGACGCUAAAGCUCGAAAGCAUGGGUAGCAAAC
rnacentral:rRNA from 1 species